ACGUCACUGUCACAUGACCUUCCCGUAGCUGCUGAGUCCGUAAACACUGCACGUGACUGCAAGUUGUGCGAGCCAUUGGAAGUGCGGCCAUCGCGCUACCUCCGGCCCAGGUGGGCGGCUGCCCCGCACGCGUCACGUGCCCAGCCUGUCGCGAUCCUGCUGAGACCAGAGGAAGGUGUUAGAGUACCUUAAACGGCUGUGGCAGGCAGCUUCAAAGUGCUGUGUGGAUGCUGGCAGUGGAACUUAGGUCCUCUGUAAGAACAAGCAUUCUUUACUGCUGAACCAUCUCUUCAACCUUUUCUAUAAUCUCCAAGUGCCAAGACUUUCUUGGAAGGACCCACUACUUAGUCUGAAGAUGCCAGAAGAGGACUCCAGAUCCCCUAUAACUGGAUUACAGAUGGUUAUUGAAUCCAGCUUCUCUGGAAGAGUAUCAAGUGUUCUAACUGCUGAGCCCUGCUUUUUUAGGUCUUUAGUCACCUGCAUAGACUGGCCCAGGCCAGCCUCAAUCUAUACAAUCCUCCUGCAUCA